UUUAGAUGGUUACUGUGGGAAUAC
rnacentral:piRNA from 1 species